AGGACAGUGGUUUAAGGCACACGCUUGGAAGGCGUGCGUACGGGAAACCGUACCGAGGGUUCGAAUCCCCCACUCU
rnacentral:tRNA from 1 species